GAUGAACGCUGGCGGCGUGCCUAAUACAUGCAAGUAGAACGCUGAAGGAAGGAGCUUGCUCUUUCCGGAUGAGUUGCGAACGGGUGAGUAACGCGUAGGUAACCUGCCUGGUAGCGGGGGAUAACUAUUGGAAACGAUAGCUAAUACCGCAUAACAGUAGAUGUUGCAUGAUAUCUACUUAAAAGGUGCAAUUGCACCACUACCAGAUGGACCUGCGUUGUAUUAGCUAGUUGGUGAGGUAACGGUUCACCAAGGCGACGAUACAUAGCCGACCUGAGAGGGUGAUCGGCCACACCGGGACUGAGACACGGCCCAGACUCCUACGGGAGGCAGCAGUAGGGAAUCUUCGGCAAUGGACGGAAGUCUGACCGAGCAACGCCGCGUGAGUGAAGAAGGUUUUCGGAUCGUAAAGCUCUGUUGUAAGAGAAGAACGAGUGUGAGAGUGGAAAGUUCACACUGUGACGGUAUCUUACCAGAAAGGGACGGCUAACUACGUG
rnacentral:rRNA from 1 species